GCCUCCCGGGUUCAAGCAAUUCUCCUGCCUCAGCCUCCCGAGUAACUGGGACUACAGGCGAGCACCACCACGCCCAGCUAAUUUUUGCACUUUUAGUAGAGACGGGGUUUCACCAUGUUGGCCAGAAUGGUCUCAAUCUGUUGACCUCGUGAGUUGACCUCAAUCGUUGACCUCGGCCUCCCAAAGUGCUGGGAUUGCAGGAGUGAGUAACAACUUUUUCAAGUUUGAAUAGCUCUAGUAUGCAUAUAUUCUAAAUUCAAGAGACAAGGAGUUUUAAGCAAAUUUGAUAAUCUGAAAGAUAUUCUCUCAGUAACUCUAUAGUUAGUGACAUUUCAUUGUUGAUUAUCACAUAUACUUCUAUUCUCCUUUCUUUCCUUUAAAUUGUUAAAAUGUUUCCAUUACUAUUUUCAGGCCUGCCUCACCCACGCUAUUCAGUGGAUAAUCUUGCUUUCUAGUUCAGAGAAAUAAUUUAGGCAUCAGAAAAGAUUCUAUAACAUCCUCUAAGACACUCAUAAUCUCACCGUCAUCUGCAGCCAUCCUUAUAUUUUAAGAGAAGCAUUUUUUGGUCGUUAUUUAUUUUGUCAGAUUACAAGCAACAGAACAUCCACCCACACUGGAUUAAGAGAAAAGGACAACGUUGGCUCAGGUAACUGGAAGGCUCCUGCAUGAGUUCAUUCAAGGAUCCAAAUGAGAAGACUAAUUUUGAAAUUCCAAGAUUCAUCUAUUCAUUAGUCCUUUGAAUCCCAUUUCUUCCUGCUUGCCUCCUUGGAUGUCCAUCAGUCAUCUCCUCCUUUUCUUUAUCACUUCCAGUGUAUUUUCCCUCAGUACAUAAACAUGUCCAGUCUAUCCAAACUUACAUAUCCUUCCACAACAUCUAAAUUCAUUGUUAUGUGUAGUCUCUCCCUUUGUCUUAAGAUACCCUAGCUCAAACACUCAGACACCUUUUCACUUCAAAUCUUGUUUUAAAAGCCAGCUCCUCAAACUCAAUAUAUCUGAAAAUUAAAACCUCACUUUGAAUCUCCUUAGAACUUGUCCUCUUUGCUUUAGAUUUAUCUUUGUCACAGAAGUGAAACAGGUCCCCUCUAAAGCUAGCACAUGCAUAAUUCAAUUGCUAACUAUAAUUGGCUUUUAGUUCUGCCCACGUUUUCAGAGCUGGUAAGCUUCUCUUCCAACUCAAAUGAGUCAAGUCCUCCCCUUACUGAAGGCAUUAUUUGCAUGAACAUGAAACCAUGAUCUUAAUUUAAAAAUCUUUAAACUUAGAAGAUAGAGCCAGUUGUGUUGAAGAUGGGGUUGUGACAAGAAGAUAUUUGGAUAUUUGGGUUACUAUUCUAACUAUUAGCGUUCUACUUUCAUAUGUAAGAUAUCAAAUAACAUUUUAAAUGAUUUUCACUGCUAAUAUUGCUUGAACACCGCACUGCCUUACUGGUUAAAACAUAAACUACUUCAUUGUGUAUAAAACAUUCUCAAUUACUUUUUGCCCAGAGAAUCCCUGUUAAUUCUUCACUCCUUAAUGGGUCAUAUGCUAAUUUUCUAGACCUGUCUUUGACUUAUCUAGAUUUGAUGAAAACUAUUGUUAUUUGAAAAUGAAUCAAAGAAUGACUUUUGGCUUCAGGGAGUUUAUUAUCUAGUGACAUCUAAGAACCAUAUACAAGCUGGGCACAGUAGCUCAUGCCUAUAACGUCAGAACUUUGGGAGGCCAAGGCA
rnacentral:lncRNA from 1 species